GACGAACGCUGGCGGCGUGCUUAACACAUGCAAGUCGAACGGAAAGGCCCUGCUUUUGUGGGGUGCUCGAGUGGCGAACGGGUGAGUAACACGUGAGUAACCUGCCCUUGACUUUGGGAUAACUUCAGGAAACUGGGGCUAAUACCGGAUAGGAGCUCCUGCUGCAUGGUGGGGGUUGGAAAGUUUCGGCGGUUGGGGAUGGACUCGCGGCUUAUCAGCUUGUUGGUGGGGUAGUGGCUUACCAAGGCUUUGACGGGUAGCCGGCCUGAGAGGGUGACCGGCCACAUUGGGACUGAGAUACGGGCCAGACUCAUACGGGAGGCAGCAGUGGGGAAUAUUGCAAAAUGGGCGGCAGCCUGAUGCAGCAACGCCGCGUGCUGGAUCACGGCCUUCGGGUUGUAAACCGCUUUCGCCUGUGACGAAGCGUGAGUGACGGUAAUGGGUAAAGAAGCACCGGCUAACUACGUG
rnacentral:rRNA from 1 species